GGCCUGGUGUGAAAGGGCGGGUUGACUCUACAGGUUUUCUUUCACCUACUUCCAUACAUCCCCCAUAACAAUGCAUUUUAGUUCCAUCCAUGACAUCAUGAUGCAAAUCCAGUGUGUUGUGGCUCCAUCCAGUACUUAUGAGCUGCUGAGCUGAGUGGAGCAGUAGAGGCUCAUCAACACUCACCAUGAAGACCACGCUCUCCUUACUACUGAUACUACUCAGCUUCACUGCAGGUGUGAAAUGUGAAAGUAUGGAAUCAUUAGAAACUGCAGUUCAGAAAAAACCUGGAGAAACUCUGAGUCUCUCCUGUAGAGGAUCUGGAUUUACUUUUAGCAGCUACAACAUGAACUGGAUCAGACAACAGGCUGGAAAACCACUGGAGUGGAUGGGAUGGAUUCGUUAUGACGGAGGUGACAAUGGCUACUCAAAGUUAUUUCAAGGCCGAACUGAAAUCACCAGAGACAAUUCCAACAGCAUGGUGUAUCUGAAACUGUCUGGUGUGACAGUCGAGGACUCAGCUGUGUAUUACUGUGCAAGAAACUCACAGUGAUAAAUAUCUGUGGAAACACUGUACAAAAACAUGGAGCUGCUGUUAGAUGAUUAUUUUCAUGAGAGGAUGUUGUUCAAAGUUUUGGCUUCAGCAGGUGGCAAAGAAGGUUUAUCAGAACAAACCCAAGAAGAUUAAGAUCGAACAAACACAGGGGGGCAGUCGAGAAUAAGAAAUGAAGUGCAGAA